GAAGUCAUCAGUUGGAGGACAUUAUAUCAAGACUUAAAUGGCUAAUAAUGAAUAGCACUCUGUCUGAAUAAUAGGAGAUUAUAAUGCAAAGCAAAGAAAACAGGACAGUAAAACCUGAAUGUGUUUAGCUCGUAAUUAAUAGUUGCUUAUAGAAAAUAUAUAGAUAUAUAGAUACUCCAGUAUAGACACCUAUGGUAUACCCAAUAUAUAGUGAUAUUGAGUAUGUGCCUCAAUACUAAAGCAUACAAUAAACCCAAAUUGAAAACCUAAAGCCACAGAUCCUCAAAGUAUAUUACUCAAAGGCAACUUGUAGGCAGGCUAAAAGCCUAAUAUACUGCCUUAAUUGGUUCAAAUCUAUUUAAUCCUCAUGUAGAACAUAGAUCUUAAGGGGAAAAGAACUAUUA